AGUAGUUAUUGAGAUAUUACAGGGUUUUAGUAGUUAUUGAUAUAUUACAGGUCAGGGUUUUAGGAGUUAUUGAGAUAUUACAAGGUUUUAGUAGUUAUUGAGAUAUAAAAGGGUUUUAGUACUUAUUGAUAUAUUACAGGUCAGGGUUUUAGUAGUUAUUGAGAUAUUACAGGGUUUUAGUAGUUAUUGAGAUAUUACAGGGUUUUAGUAGUUAUUGAGAUAUUACAGGGUUUUAGUAGUUAUUGAUAUAUUACAGGUCAGGGUUUUAGUAGGUAUUGAGAUAUUACACGUUUUAGUAGUUAUUGACAUAUUACAUGUCAGGGUUUUAGUAGUUAUUGAGAUAUUACAGGUCAGGGUUUUAGUAGUUAUUGAGAUAUUACAGGGUUUUAGUAGUUAUUGAGAUAUUACACGUUUUAGUAGUUAUUGAGAUAUUACACGUUUUAGUAGUUAUUGAGAUAUUACAGGGUUUUAGUAGUUAUUGAGAUAUUACAGGUUUUAGUAGUUAUUGAGAUAUUACAGGUCAGGGUUUUAGUAGUUAUUGAUAUAUUACAGGGUUUUAGUAGUUAUUGAGAUAUUACAGGGUUUUAGUAGUUA
rnacentral:lncRNA from 1 species